CUGGUCGCUGGCACCAAGGUGCGAGCCAGUGCUGCAGGCACCCGCGGCAGCUGCCGGUGCGCAGUAGGCACUUCACCCCUACCAGCAGCUGCAGGCUUUCGCCGGUGCACCGGGGCGUCGCAGAGCAGACACAGGGUCUCGCCGGGGUGAGGUCGCGGGCGGCUGAAGAUGGGAGGCUGUGGGCGUCCCGUCCUCCCCGUUCGAGGCCUGCUGCUCUGCGCCUUGGCUCUGCUCGUCUGCGCCCAGCACCCUCCGGCCGCAGCAGGUUUUCCAGAGUCCAGCGGUACUUACAACUCCUCCGCGGCCUCCAACUCCUCCGCGGCCUCCAACUCCUCCGCGGCCUCCAACUCCUCCGCGGCCUCCAACUCCUCCGCAGCACCCGACUCCUGGGUGGACGGGACAGAAGAAACACUGCUCACCUGCCAGAGCUUCCGCUGCUCCGGGGAGAGGUGUUACCAGGACGAAGCCUACGCCAACGAAACGCUGACCUGCCAAAACGGCUCCUACUGUGAGCUCUACCGAUUCUCCAGCACAAACUACACAGCCGGGUGCACCCGCGAGUGCAGCGCGGAGAGGUGCAGGACCAACAGCAGCGUGAGCGUGCAGCAGUGCGCCCUGGACUGUUGCGACUCGCCCCUCUGCCUUCAGCUCAACGCCAGCUCCUAUGGUGACCUGCUGCCCAGCACCACGCCAGCCGCCACCACCGCCACCGCCACCCCCCGAGCUCCCGCCCGAAAUGUAGGUAUCGGCUGGACGCGGGGUGRCCGGCUUGCCCUGGCCGCA
rnacentral:lncRNA from 1 species